rnacentral:rRNA from 1 species
AACGAACGCUGGCGGCAGGCUUAACACAUGCAAGUCGAACGCGUGCAGCAAUGCACGAGUGGCGCACGGGUGAGUAACGAGUGGAUAUCUGCCUUUUGGUUCGGAAUAACCCCGGGAAACUGGGGCUAAUACCGGAUGGUUCCUACGGGAUAAAGAUUUAUCGCCAAAAGAUGAGUCCGCGUCCGAUUAGCUAGUUGGUGAGGUAAUGGCUCACCAAGGCGACGAUCGGUAGCUGGUCUGAGAGGACGAUCAGCCACACUGGGACUGAGACACGGCCCAGACUCCUACGGGAGGCAGCAGUGGGGAAUAUUGGAAAAUGGGGGCAACCCUGAUCCAGCCAUGCCGCGUGAGUGAUGAAGGCCUUCGGGUUGUAAAGCUCUUUUGGCGGGGACGAUGAUGACGGUACCCGCAGAAUAAGCCCCGGCUAACUUCGUG